AAACGACGGGGAGACGCCGAUAACAAAUGUAACUUCACUUUAGGAAGCUGAUGAAGAAACCGCGGCAAAAAUACAAGAUUUGGCGCUUGCCAAGGGCGCUCUUACCAAAACGCUUACGCAUGGCCAUGAUUACGCAAAGCACUGAUAGACGUUCGCUACUGAACAGGCAAUUGAGUGGACAUCUAGUG
rnacentral:lncRNA from 1 species